rnacentral:rRNA from 1 species
AUGAUGCCACGACAACAUAUCAGUUAUCCGGUAGCCCACGGGGAUACCGGUGCAAAAGGAAAUGACGGGAGCGUGUCAUGCCAGGAUGGUGGGGUGCUCCCGAUUACGGGGUUCCCACAUGUCGGUGGCAAGGCAAAAGAGGGGCAACAUGCGCCGAACAACUCCGACAUGGAGCAAACACGAGCAUUUCAUACAACAUAUGCAUUCGGUCCACGGGUCAUCGUCUCGGCGGUUAUACCUUCUAAGGGUGCAUUAUCAGAACGGAUCAAGUUCGUAGAGGAAAGUAGGCGUUCUCGCGACGGCGGUAGUGGGAGUAGUCGUUCACGUUCGUUCGGAGAGGGAAAGAAAACAACGGCAGCAGCAGGCAUCGCAGACACCGGGCGUGGUCGCCUGUAG